UUUAAGGGUUAAGUCGGAAAUAAUAAAAAUGUUAAAUAUAAAUAGAAUGAUAUAGAAAUAGUUGAUGUUUUCUCAUCGACAGUAUGAACAUAAUAUAUAUAUAUAUAUAUUAUGUUCAUAUCAAUAAAUAAGCACGAAAUAAUAGCCGAUGUGUAUUAAAGAGGUCACAAAAACAAUUAUAACUUGUCUAAGAUUUCUUAACUUUCUCGACUAUGCCUACUCGGCGAGGCAUAGUCGAGAAAGUUCGUAAAUUGUUGUAAAUUUGUGUUUGUAAAUUUAGACUCUCUCUCUCUCUCUCUCUCUCUCUCUCUCUCUCUCUCUGAGAUUUAAUAUGUAGCAUCUUCGAAGUAAACCGUUUGAAAAUAUUCUUUUCAACAUUGAGAACUUGUACAUUGUUCCAAUCAAAGUCAUGACCGCAAUGCAACCUAUGAUCCGUUAUAACAGAAUUAGUUGUCGUAUUUCUACGAAUAUGUUGAUGGUGUUCAGAGAUUUUCAUGUUUAAUUGUCUUCCCGUUUGGCCCAUGUAGGAAGCAUCACAGUCAUUGUAUGAUAUUUUGUACACGACAUUCUUUUUAGAAGUAUCCUGAAGAGGAUCUUUGCGGUCUUUGAUAAAAGUGCCGAGUUUGUUGAGAUUGUAAAAUGUCAAUCCAGAGUCAGUAUUAUUUGUGAUGUUCUUAAAUUUGUUAGACACUGAAUCAAUAAAGGGGAUUGUAAACCAAUUUUUUAUUUCUUUAGAUUCAGAAUCAUUGGUAGAAUUUUUUUGUAAGGCAUUCUGGGACGGUACCUAAUAGCGCACGGUGCGAUAGCCCAUUAACCAAUUAUCUUGACUUAUCUAACCCAACCAACGGAAAAAGUCUAGGCAUUGGCCGUGAGUGGUAGUGUGCUAUUGGUCCCGUGUGCUAUCGGGAUCCGCCCGGCAUUCCGGCUAUAAGGUCAAAUCUUUUAAUCUUGUUUUUAUAGUUUUCAAAAUAAAAUCUAACGGUCGUUGCUCAAUAGAAUGUUUACUAUUUUCUCUAGUUUUUUUUUAAUGGAAUUUAGGAUGAGAUAAAAAGAAGGUCCUAUCAACUAUGCCCAUGAUUAUAUCUUUCUUUUGUGAGAGCAGAUGCUGAGACAAAAAGUUCAGGUAUCUUUCUGAAAAUGAACUGAUUUAAGAUUUAAACCGUGAGAGGCAAGAAGACUCACGCAAAUCAAGCACUCCAAAGAAUUGUGAUACCGCUACGUCGUUCAACCUGGGUAAUGCUAAAAGCUGGUUGUCUGAUAUUUUUAUUUUAUAACUUCCGAGGAUUUAUGUUUAUUGUCCACCACAGAUUGCUCGUAUGUCUAUCUUGAUGACCAACAGUGAUGGACCAGUAUGUGAUAAUGCGCUUAGAAGUUUUGAACACGUUUGAGCGACUACGCGGCAUGUCAAAUUUGCGCCCUCGAGUCGGAGACAACGUAUGCUGAGCAUGAGACGUUUUUUCUUUUGUUCAACGCGACCACUACGUUACACAACUAUCAGUACAAUGAAAUUGUUAAUUUAGAUGUAUCGUUGAAAAUGACUUCAAAAGAAGUCGGAAAUGCAUCCGAUCUAAUGUUUGCAUAUCGAUGUACUAAAACUCAAAUAUAUUGUACAUGUUAUUAUUGACGUACUAACUAUCGCGUUUUGAAUUGCAUUUUCUACGCUUUAUUUUUUAAUUUAAACAUUUUCAAUUUCUUCAAUCUUAUAAGUUGAAGAAACCUGAAACUAGUUCUGGUAUCGCAAAAAUCAAUCGAAUAGAUCACUGGGAAAAAUUUUUGGUAUAAAAAACUUGAUGGAAGAAUCAAAAUUUCCAUUAGUAAUAAAAAUUGUGAAAGUUUGAAUUUCGUACAUGGUAGUGCUGAUGUAGAAAGGCGUUUUAGUGAUUCUGGUAACCAAUUGACAGAAGAAAGAACUUUAAUGCCAAUAAAGACACUCGAUGCUAGAAUGACAAUUAAGGAUGGUCUGAAAAAAUAAAAUAAGCCCGAUUCUCAUUGCGAAACUACUUAUUACAAUGAGAUGUCUAGCACAUUUUUAGAUUUUCAACAAAUAGAUUUUUAAAAAUUACAAAUUGCUUACGGAAGGUAUUACUUGAAGGGGCUCAGGCAAUAAAAUUAAAUUUAGAUAAUUCUCAGAUUGAACCACUAUAUAAAAAAUUAGAGAUGUGUAAAACUACUCUUAUAACUAGUUUUUUUAAGAAAAUUAAAAUUGAGAGUGAUGUAACUAAUAAUGAUAAUUCUGCUUAGUGAAAAUGUAAUUGUUUAUUUUUGUAAUAUAUAACAAGAGUUAUUUUGUUGAAAUAUGAUUCAUUAAAUUCUAUUUUUGUUUUUUGAAAUAAAAUAUGACACUAAAGAACUGUAAUCUAAAAUGUGUAUUAGAUUUUUAUGUCUAGUACAUAAAAUACAUAUUAGAUUGUAUUUAUUCUUAAGAUAUUUUUAGCAAAAACUUCCUUUGUUCUAAAUGUGAUACCAAAAAAUAAGUUAUAUAUGAAAAUUUUUCUUUUCAUAGAAAUAUGGUAUGAGAGAUAUAAGUGUUUGAAAAUUGUUUAUGUAAUUUGCACGUGGAAUUGGUGCAAAGAGAAGCAGAAAUGUGUUCAUGAUAGUUGAUGAUGAUUUUGUCAUUUAUUGAGCGCUCUAGGAUAAAUCUUCUCAAGCGCUAUUAUAAACAUUUGAGUAGAUCUCACGUAAGAUACAAAACGCAAAAGUUAACAAAAAUAAAAUAAAAAAAAUAAAAACUUGUAUAAACAUAGAUAACAAAA
rnacentral:lncRNA from 13 species